ensembl:lncRNA novel transcript
AAUAUGAGUGUUCAUCAUCCUCUUCUCUUGAUCAUUUUUUGACAAGAAGGAGGGCAACAGACAGGCUUCCAGAGCUCCGUUCCAGACACAGGAUGCUGAAGACAUGCUCCGUAGUUGUAUGGAGCAGAGAGACUUUGCAGUUCCUCAAUAAUGGGGGUUUAUUCUAAAGACAUCUGUAGAAACAGGGAAAUUAGAAAACUAGGCUACAUGGCCACACUCAGAGAGUCCAAGUGAAAGCCCUACAAAGAGGUUCAUGGCAGGGGCAGGGGGCCAGGACCCAGACAGUGAACAGGCAUCAUGGAGAGAGAAACUGGAGCCUGAGAGCUCCUGGGAGCUGGAGAGCUGGCUCUGUGGUCACUGCCCCCAGGAAUCCACCAUUAGGGGGCCUCAGCAAAUGCAUCCCCAAGUCUUGGCUCUCUUGGGAGGACCUUCUGGCCAUUUCCUGUUGCUAGCUUCCUCUUUCCCUUGCCUUUCCGUCGGACAUCUUUGAUCUGCUGUCUGGAUUGUAAAAGAUGCUGGCUGUGCUUUUCCUACUCUGUAGACGUUACAAUGUUGCUGUGUGAGGGCCACUUCCACCAGCCAGCAUCCACAUGCCUAUGUGCCUGGAAACUCUCUCCUGUGCCUGGAGAGGUGGGAGGCAGCUAUAAUCUUGGCGGAAUGAAUACCUACUAGGAGCAACCUUCAUCCAAUGACUAACAGGAGCUGGGGUAUCAAUUCCCCAGCUCCCAGUGCUCAGGGGAACACCAAGACCUAUUCUCCUCGUGGGAGCAAGAAGAUGAAGUGGAGAGGAAGAGUCACUCAGGGACCCAGGCUGGUGUGGGCUCUGCCAUUUUGCAAUGUUGCCAUCUCAGGACAGCAGAAGAGAAGAGAGCACUAGAAAGUGUGGCUCCUGUAAUAAGAUGAUUUCACCUGGAAAUUACACCAGUCAUGUUUGUUCAGAAUCCACUGACCAGAAUGAGUCACAUGACACCCCCUAAUUUUAAGAAGACCCAGUGAUAACCCGCUCACUAAUAUACCCUGAAUUGCCUGCCUUCCUUUCUCUGGCUCGCUUCCCCACUCCCUACUU